AAUAGAAAGAGCAUCAAUUCUUUACAAAUCAGAGAAUAAGGUAGCUAUCCAGGCUCUUGGACAGUAGAGAAGGCAAAACUCCACUGGCAUGAAGGGAGAGAAAUGGAACGGAUGUAAAACUCUCAAUGUGUAGGGGAGGAACUUCCCUGAUGGUCUAGUGACAAAGAGUCCACAUUCCCAAUGCAGGAAACCCGGGUUCGAUCCCUAGGAGGAGAGAGAGUCAGGUGACCCCAGUUCUACGGGACAGCACUCAGUUGAAGUCACCAAAGCCAGCCAAAGCCAGCCAAAGCCAGCUUUAGAACACAGAAACAGGAGGGACACACCCAACAGCUGAGGAAGCAGGAAACAUCUACUCUAAAACUGAAGAACAAAAACAUGAAAACUGAGAGCAUCUUUUGUAUAUUUUUGUGUAGUUUGUUCCCACUAAACUUUCCUGAAAACAUUCACACU
ensembl:lncRNA